rnacentral:rRNA from 1 species
UACAGAGGGUGCGAGCGUUAAUCGGAAUUACUGGGCGUAAAGGGCGCGUAGGCGGUGUAUUAAGAUAGAUGUGAAAUCCCUGGGCUUAACCUAGGAACUGCAUCUAAGACUGGUACGCUGGAGUGCGGUAGAGGAUAGCGGAAUUUCCGGUGUAGCGGUGAAAUGCGUAGAUAUCGGAAGGAACACCAGUGGCGAAGGCGGCUAUCUGGACUGACACUGACGCUGAGGCGCGAGAGCGUGGGGAGCAAACAGG